UGCCAUGACUUAUCUUCCAUCACUGCUGAAACCUGUUGUUACAGAUACCAUAGAGGCGAAUGUAGAGAAAGCCUACGGCAAUGUGGAAUCAGGGAACAAACAGCUGGAGAAGGCCAGCCAAUAUCAGAAAAAGGCAAGAAAGAAGAUGUGCUGUCUGUUGGUGGUGCUGCUUGUUGUGGGGGGCAUCAUUGCUCUUAUUGUUUACCUGUCCGUCAAGAACUAGGUGGCACAUCCAAAUGGCAUGGCAUGUAUGCUGUGGACAUAUAGACUAUUCUUCAGGGGACAAAACAAGUAUAAGAGGAUUUAGAAACAUGGAAAAUGCACAUGAAAAAUUUAUAUAAUUGUACUAUAUAGCAAGAAAUACAAAGUGUUAAGUUCUCCACGAUAUUACCAUGUUACCAUGCUCACUGUUUCUCUCUAUUAUGUAUACUGAAGAGUGAAGACAGACUCUGCUAAAAGUUAGAUUUUGCAUGUUUCAUUUUGUUAUUUGAAUUACUGGUCCUUACCCCAGUCCUUCUCAUAAUGUAAAUAGAAAAUGAAAACCAGUUAUCAUAUUCAUGCAAACUAUGAAUGUCAAGUAUCCUGGCCCUAUAGUAUAAGGUUGUUGACAUUGGUUUGUUGUAAAGUUGCUUAAUGGUAAAUGAUUAGCUAUGAUAGGUUAUGUUCGAAAUGCUGCAGAAAAAAUGAAGUGUGGUAAAAAAAAUUUGAUAUGAGAUUUUAGAUUUUUUUCCCUACAAUCCAUUCAGUUUAAUCUUGUAUGAGCUUUCCCAAUCCAAACUCUGUGUUAAUAGUGCAGAAUAUGAUUUCAUAUGAAGGAUAAUUAUGACAGUGUGUGAAAUGGAAAUAUGAAUUAUUCUUUGUGAUACAUCUUUUGAUGUGAAACUUUUGCUGUGGUGAUAUGCACUGCAAAUCAUGAUAAUUGAUAUUUGUUUUCAAUUUAUUACUAAGUGUUGUACCAAAUUGCUUCAAAUGUAAUAUGAUAUAUAAGAAAAACCUUUUUCCUCCUCCCAUGAAAUACCUGGUAAAAUCACAGCAAAAGUAAAUGAAUUCACAGUAGUUCUUGCUAUCAGACAUUCAAUACUUUUGGCUGGAUGUCAGCCAAGGCCAUUUUUCCAAACUUGAUAUGUAAGACAAAUCUGUCUUAUUUUAGUCAAUAAAGUUUCUUCAAGUAGCCAAUUUAUACUCAGUACCAUCAGACGACCUUUUGCUGCUGACAGCUUUGGCAGGAGUGCCGUGUUAUGACACUGACAAAUCAUUGCCAUGCUGUAUUGCAUUAUUUUUCUUUGAAGAAUGUGUUAUAUAUAUCUGGCAUCAUACCUUUUUGUUCCAACAUUGUACAAAACAAUGUAACAGUACAUGGAAAUCAAGGAGUAGUCGUGAAAAUAGGCAAGUAUAUUCUAUGGAUGGCAAUGCCAAGCAGGCUUCAAAUCUAAUGCAAGCAUUAUGAAAAAAGGAUGAAAGAAAGGUUGUAAAUUUACAACUUCAAACUAGAGACAAUUUGAGGUGACGAAACAUGGUAUCAUACCCAAUAAGUCUUUGGUUCCUGCUUAGUGUAGAAAGUGACACUAGUGUGAUAGCCUUUUAUCACUUACCAACUACAUUGUACAUGUACGCUCAAGGUUACCACUAUGAUUGUAAGUACUGUACAAAACACACAAGGCAUCGCAGGAGGGGAUCAAUUUUUAAAAAAUUUCAAACCAAGUAAAAGUCACUGCACGAUCUGAUCUAUAAGAUGCACUUACUGUGGUCAUAGGUGCACAAAAAUGAAGACAAGACUUCCUGCUGAAAAUGCCUUGUAAAGUAACCUUGAAACUGGAGCCCCUAAAGUGACACAUCAACAGAAGCGAUCAAUAUAAUAGACCUAUCCAUUUU